UGAUAUGAAUGUGUUGUAGCAUUUAUCAGG
rnacentral:piRNA from 1 species